rnacentral:rRNA from 1 species
GACGAACGCUGGCGGCGUGCUUAACACAUGCAAGUCGAACGAUGAUGCUGGUGCUUGCACCAGUGGAUUAGUGGCGAACGGGUGAGUAACACGUGAGUAACCUGCCCCUCACUUCGGGAUAAGCCUGGGAAACUGGGUCUAAUACCGGGUAUGACUGCCGAUCGCAUGGUUGGUGGUGGAAAGAUUUUUUGGUGGGGGAUGGACUCGCGGCCUAUCAGCUUGUUGGUGAGGUAGUGGCUCACCAAGGCGGUGACGGGUAGCCGGCCUGAGAGGGCGACCGGCCACACUGGGACUGAGACACGGCCCAGACUCCUACGGGAGGCAGCAGUGGGGAAUAUUGCACAAUGGGCGAAAGCCUGAUGCAGCGACGCCGCGUGAGGGAUGACGGCCUUCGGGUUGUAAACCUCUUUCAGCAGGGACGAAUAAGGACGGUACCUGCAGAAGAAGCACCGGCUAACUACGUGCCAGCCGCCGCCGUAACAC